rnacentral:tRNA from 1 species
UGAAGUUGUAGCUCUGUGGUAGAGUCCUUGCCUCAUACGUGUGAGACACUGGGUUCAAUUCCUAGCACUACAG